ensembl:lncRNA
UUCGGACUGAGAGAAAGAAAGAGAGUCGAGGCAUCCUAGAGAAUGAGGGUUGCUCAGUCUCAAGGCGUCAAUAUAGCUGAGGAUAUGGGGAAGUAAAAGCAGAACAAAUUCGCCUGCUUUCUUGUAGCCUGUGGGCUCCCCGUGCUUGGUGGUGAGGGGGCGGGGCGACGGAGGAUAUUGGCAGGCAGGGUAUCAGAAAACAUCGAAACUGAAGUAUCUUUGAUCCCUGGUACACAGCAAGCAGCUAAGGUAUAACAUCUCAGAGAGUCAUGGAAUUACAUCCUCCUCUGAAAGGUAGCAACUUCUGGAUAGACGUCUUUUCAUGGAAAAAGAUUCAAAAUAGCCCUUGUAGCAUUACCUAAGUUAAGAAAAUCCUCUAGGAGGCCUGCAGACAUAAGAACCAGAAAUCUGGGAGACCAUUGCCUUGGCACAUGGAAUCCAGGGCCUAGUUAAAUGAAGGUGGACAUCACUGGAUAGCACUUAAACUCCAACAGUAUGCUGCUAGGGCUUCCUUGGUGGCUCAGACGGUAAAGA